AAAUUGAAGAGUUUGAUCAUGGCUCAGAUUGAACGCUGGCGGCAGGCCUAACACAUGCAAGUCGAACGGUAGCACAGAGAGCUUGCUCUCGGGUGACGAGUGGCGGACGGGUGAGUAAUGUCUGGGAAACUGCCUGAUGGAGGGGGAUAACUACUGGAAACGGUGGCUAAUACCGCAUAACGUCGCAAGACCAAAG
rnacentral:rRNA from 2 species